UACGUAGGGUGCGAGCGUUAAUCGGAAUUACUGGGCGUAAAGCGUGCGCAGGCGGUUCGUUGUGUCGGCGGUGAAAGCCCCGGGCUUAACCUGGGAAUGGCAAUGGAUACUGGCAGGCUAGAGUGCGGUAGAGGAUAGUGGAAUUCCUGGUGUAGCGGUGAAAUGCGUAGAUAUCAGGAGGAACACCGGUGGUGUAGACGGCUAUCUGGACCGUAACUGACGCUGGGGCACGAAAGCGUGGGUAGCAAACAGG
rnacentral:rRNA from 1 species